GGAGGGAGAGAAAGGGUGAAGGGGGGGGCGGACUCCGGAUCGUGGGCCGGGCCGAGGGAAGUGCCCCCCUUUUGGCUCUUCUCCUUCUCUUUUCGUCCGGGCCAGAGUCGGGACUCGAGAAAGUGUGGCGACAGCCACACGCGCCCAGCGGACAAGCAUCUUCGCCCCACGUGUGCUCCCCUCACACCUUCGGGACGGAACGACGCGCGCUGAGGUAGCGGAGGCACAGAGAAGCGAGUGGCUUGCCCCAAGGUCGCACAGCAGACAAGCGGCGGAGCCAGGAUUAGAACCCACGUCCUCUGAAUCCCAAACACGAUCGGGAGUCAGGAGUUACUGGACUCAGCUCUGCCCCUGGGCCUGCGGUCGAGCUCGGGCUAGAUGCCUAACCUCUUGGAGCCUGUUUCCUCAUCUACAGCGAAAUUGCCUCUCCCUGUCCUCUGGGGAAGGUGUGAGGAUGAAAUAAGAUCAAGGCACUGGGGAAAAUAAAAGCCCUCUAUAUAUUU